rnacentral:lncRNA from 1 species
UCAACAGCAGACGAAAUAGACAUGUCCACUAGGUGGACUCUUACAGAAUACCUGUCCAGUUCAACUGCUAUCUGUAAUCCACUUCCUACAACACUGAAAGUUCUCUGCGGCGAAGCACUAUGCCGUGAUCAGACCCUUGGUGAGGCCACUGCUAGCGGGAACACGGGAGGCCGUGGCAGCCCUCUGCGGAGCAGGUCCACCGACUCCUCGUGAAGCGCUGCUGCGCAGGCGCAAUCAAAGCGACAGGCGGUGCGCCUGGCGCGUCGUCUGCUACAGUUUUUUCCCUCCGCCGCUCCCUUUUGCACUGCUUCGAUGCUCGCAUGGCUACGUUCUAAACGGCAACGGAGUUUUGUGACGAAAGUGAGAUUCACACGGAAGGAUGGAUUGUCGACCCAGCCAACCGGAGGAGCACGUCGUAGUUCAGUGCCUGCGAAUCACGCCACACUCAAAAAGAUGGGACGCGACGUGCUGUCGGCGUCAGUUGCUGCAGCCCAACCGCUUCACAGUCGUUCUUGGACUAGGUCGGCACACCGUCUCGUCAUGUAAAUCAAGCCUAAAAGCCAGGUCAUGUAUGUGGCCGCGUUCUUCUUGAUGCAGAGGCGAUAAAACGCGCCAUUACAUCUGCAUCGUCGAGAAUAAAGAACAGCUAGAGCAGACCAACCUUUCGCAA